CAAGGUUUUCUUUCCACCUUGGUGGCAAAACCUACUCUUACGGAUCAAAUCAUCGCUGCCCAAAAGCGAGAUAAGGGAAUAUCUAAAAUCAAAGAGAACAUUGCUAGCGGAGGUGCUAGUUGUUUCUCCACAAAUGAUCAUGGUGUUGUGUACUUUGAGAACCGUCUAGUGGUUCCCAAGAACCAGCAUCUACGGCAAUUGAUCCUUAAAGAAGCUCAUGAAUCUCCUCUCACUAUUCAUCCCGGUAGUACUAAAAUGUAUCAGGACCUACGCCAGAGGUUCUGGUGGACUAGGAUGAAGAGAGAAAUUGCUCAGUAUAUUGCAAAUUGCGACGUCUGUCGUCGUGUAAAAGCAGAGCAUCAACGGCCUGCUGGCACCCUUCAACCCUUAGCUAUUCCUGAAUGGAAAUGGGAUAAAAUUGGUAUGGAUUUCAUUACCGGUUUUCCCAGGACCAAGAGAGGGAAUAAUGCUAUCUUCGUCGUGGUCGAUCGUCUUUCCAAAGUAGCUCAUUUCCUACCUGUUCGUGAGAGUAUAACCGCUAGUCAGCUGGCAGACUUAUACAUCUCCCGAAUAGUGUCUCUCCAUGGUGUUCCUUUGGAAAUCAAUUCGGAUCGAGGAAGUCUUUUC
rnacentral:rRNA from 1 species